AACCGUCUUUUUGUAGAAUCUGCAAGUGGAUAUUUGGAACCCUUUGAGGCCUAUGCUGAAAAAAGAAAUAUCUUCACUACAUGAUGACCACCAGCAGCAGCUGGGGAAACCAGCACCCUGUGGAAUUCCAUACGGUGCAUAGAAUACAUCCUCCCUUCAGUCGGCUUGGGUCAACUUAGGUCAUGGGCCACCUGGCUGAUAGCAGUUUCCACAGAAAUGCUUCAAGAUGGCCUGGAAUCUCAAGACCAUGAUGACCUCUCAUCACUCCUGAAUCCAGAGCUUUCCCUUUACAAAGGGGAAACUGAGACCUGGAGCAGGGCUGAUGUUCAGCCAGCGCACAAGGGAAUGGCUGAAUUGGUGGUAAAAUACUGAAAUAGUUCCAGUGUGGAUGGAAAGGGGCCACUGCCCUGAGCAUCUCUACUGCCCACCUCAUCCCUUCCUCCAGGACCCUGGGUCAGCACCAGGAGUGUCAAAGUGGCCAGGAUUGGCCGGAGCCCAUGCUAAUGGCUCUGCCAGCCCUUCUCCCCACCAGAGAGGGCAGGGGGAUUCAGGCCCUCUAGAGGUAGCAUUGUGACCGUGUCUGCAGUAGUCAAUCCUUGUGUGCCACAGUCCCUGACUUUGUUGAUAAGGGCAUCAGCCUACAUCCCUCUGGUACUCAGUGAUAAGCAUCUAAAAUCUUCUUAAAGAAAAAAUUUAAAAAGCUUUCAAAAUAUACGACUUAACAUAUGAGGCUGCAUAAAUAUCUUUUUAGCAGUUGUCCAACUGGUGCUUCUGGUUCUGCCUCCCCAGAAAGUGGAUGACCGGGCCACCCUCCACCACUGCCCUGUAAGACCAUGGGACACACAGGCCACCAGUUCUUUUCAUGUGGUCAUCCCCUGUUAGAUGGGAGAAAAUACACCUGCCUCAUUUUUGUACCUUCUGUGUGAACAUUCCACGGCAGAGCUUCACUAAAUGUGUGAUGAAGAAUUGAAUGAAUGAAUGAAUAUGAGAGAAAAUGAAUAAAUGGUUCAGAUCCUGGGCUGGAAGGCUGUGUAUGAGGAUGGUGGGUAGAGGAGGGUCUGUUUUUCUUGCCUUUAAGUCACUAAUUGUCACUUUGGGGCAGGAGCACAGGCUUUGAAUGCAGACCGACUGGACUUUAAUUCUGGCUUUACUAGUUGUGAUUGUGUGACCUUGUGCAAGUUACUUAAACCCUCUGUGCCUGUUUCUUUAUCUGUAAAAUGGAGAUAAUAAGAUGUCAAAGGACUGUGGUAAGAAUUAAAUGCUUUAAAAAAA
rnacentral:lncRNA from 1 species